AAUCUACCUUUGGCUCCGGGACAACACCUCUAACGAGAUGCUAAUACCGGAUGAUGCAGCGGCACCGCAUGGUGACAGUUGUUAAAGCUUCGGCGGCCAUAGAUGAGCAUGCGUUUGAUUAGGUAGUUGGUAAGGUAACGGCUUACCAAGCCUUCGAUCAAUAGCUGGUCUGAGAGGAUGAUCAGCCACACUGGGACUGAGACACGGCCCAG
rnacentral:rRNA from 1 species